rnacentral:rRNA from 1 species
AGUAGCCAAGCCCGGAAGGGAUAAACGCUGAAGGCAUCUAAGCGUGAAGCCCCCCUUAAGAUGAGAUAUCCCAUUCGAAAGAAGUAAACCCCCUUGAAGACGACGAGGUAGAUAGGGCAGAGGUGGAAGUGUGGCAACACAUGGAGCUGACUGUUACUAAUCGGGUGAGGGCUUGACCAAGAA